UGAUAGCUGGUUUCUCAAGAAAAGAAUCUUAGUUCACCCUAAAGCCCACAUAAUAAUAUAAAUAACAACACAACUUUAGAGCAAUCCAAACAAGGUACAGCCUGUUUGAAAAAGGAUACAACCUUCACUCGCGGGUAAUGAUACUCACUAUAACACCAAGUAGACCUAAAACCAGCCAUCUUAGUAAAAUGCGUUAAAGCUUUAUAUUAUACCACUCUUUCUCUUUUCCCACCCCCGAAUCACUAUUGAGAACUUCUAUACCGUAUAGAAACUUUUAUGUUAAAACUAGUAACAAGAACCAAUUCUCUUAAAUACACGUGUAUGUUAGGGCGAACUCACCACUAACACUUAUUCUGCCAUGAAAAACAAUAGCAACUCUCUAAGAAAACCCUAUUAAUUAUUUUGUUAACCCUACACAAGAGUACUUCAAGAAAGAUAAAAAUGGAAAGAAGGAACUCGGCAAAUGGGGGAUCCCGCCUGUUUACUAAAAACACCGCCUCUUGACUACCAUAAGAGGUCCAGCCUGCCCAGUGAGAAAUUCAACGGCCGCGGUAACCUGACCGUGC
rnacentral:rRNA from 1 species